rnacentral:rRNA from 1 species
AUUGAACGCUGGCGGCAGGCUUAACACAUGCAAGUCGAGCGAGCGGCGGACGGGUGAGUAAUGUCUGGGAAACUGCUUGAUGGAGGGGGAUAACUACUGGAAACGGUAGCUAAUACCGCAUACCAUCAGAUGUGCCCAGAUGGGAUUAGCUAGUAGGUGGGGUAAAGGCUCACCUAGGCCACGAUCCCUAGCUGGUCUGAGAGGAUGACCAGCGACACUGGAACUGAGACACGGGCCAGACGCCUACGGUAGGCAGCAGUGGGGAAUAUGGCGCAAGGGGCGCAAGCCUGAUGCAGCCAUGCCGCGUGUAUGAAGAAGGCCUGCGGGGUGUAAAGCACUUUCAGCGAGGAGGCGUUACUCGCAGAAGAAGCACCGGCUAACUCCGUGCCAGCCGCCGCGGUAAUUC